CCGGGCAGGCACGGCAGGACGGGGCUCGGGAAUCGCCCUCUGCUUCGUUCCUGCGGGGAUUCUGAGGAAGGAGCGACCUGAAAUGCGCUCAAAGGGUCUUUGAGCAGCUGCACAAAGGCGGACACAGCCUGUGCGCGCACUCUCAGUGACCUGCGGAAAUAACAAGAGAAAAGAAGCGCGGAGAAAAGUUACCGGCUGACACCCCGCUCCCCGGCCGGCAGGGAGCCGCUGCCCGUGCGCCUUUAAAGCCGUUUCCUCUCUCCCGCCGGAGCACGAAGCUGCCGCGGCGGGUGACGCCGUCGCCUUUUCUGUCCCCCACCGCCGCAGCGACUCCGGCAGGACAGCGGCUCGUUCCCCACUCUGGCCGCCGGCACGGUCACCCGAACGCGGCCCCGCGCAGGAACCCACGGCUGCCUGCCCCGCGCGGCGCGCUGAGAGCGCGGGGGGAACCCAGCGGCCCCCGGCGCGCCGAGCUCAGCUUCGCCCCCCCUCAAUUAUAUAAACGGCCCUUACCCACCCCGCACCGAGGAGGCUGCGGGCAGACAGCGCUUCCGUCAUUUCCAGGCACUAUAAAUAGCGCCCGAGCCUCCUCCCGCCAGCAAAGUUGCCUCGGCGGCCCCGCGCACACCGGAGACGGCAGCCCUCCCCCCCGGCCAGGGCGCAGCACGGAGCUCCUCUAGCAGCCACCUUCCACCCGACAUCCCCCCCAAAUCCUCCAAAAAAAUAAAUGCCGGCAAAGGGAA